CACUUCUAAGGAAGGCAGCAGGCGCGCAAAUUACCCAAUCCUGACUCAGGGAGGUAGUGACAAGAAAUAACAAUAAACCGGCUUAUGCCGGUUUAAUUGGAAUGAGUACAAUUUAAACAUCUUAACGAGGAACAAUUGGAGGGCAAGUCUGGUGCCAGCAGCCGCGGUAAUUCCAGCUCCAAUAGCGUAUACUAAAGUUGUUGCAGUUAGAAAGCUCGUAGUUGGAUUUCUGUGGGGACGGAGCGGCCGGCCGCAACACGCGGUUCGAGCCAGCGCUUUCCCUACAUCCUGCCGCGAACCGUGCUACCAUUAGUUUGGUGGCGCCGGGGAUCGGCUCGAUUACUUUGAGAAAAAUAGAGUGUUCAAAGCAGGCCACACGCCUUGAAUAAGUUAGCAUGGAAUAAUAACUAAGGACUUCGGUUCUAUUUUGUUGGUGUUCGGGACUGAAGUAAUGAUUGAUAGGGACAGUUGGGGCGGUCUGUAUUCCAAAGCGAGAGGUGAAAUUCUUAGACCUUCGGAAGACAAACAGCUGCGAAAGCGUUCCGCAAGGAUGUUCCCUUUGAUCAAGAACGAAAGUUGGGGGAUCGAAGACGAUCAGAUACCGUCGUAGUCUCAACUAUAAACUAUACCAGCUAGGGAUCGGCCAACGUUAUUUAAACCGACUUGGUCGGCACCUUAUGAGAAAUCAAAGCAUCUGGGUUCCGGGGGGAGUAUGGUCGCAAGGCUGAAACUUAAAGGAAUUGACGGAAGGGCACCACCAGCCGUGGAGCCUGUGGCUUAAUUUGACUCAACACGGGAAAACUUACCAGGUCCAGACAUAGUAAGGAUUGACAGAUUGAUAGCUCUUUCUUGAUUCUGUGGGUGGUGGUGCAUGGCCGUUCUUAGUUGGUGGAGUGAUUUGUCUGGUUAAUUCCGUUAACGAACGAGACCCCAGCCUGCUAAAUAGCGCGCGUGAGCUUUGCUCGCGGCGAGCUUCUUAGAGGGACUCUGAUGCGCGAUAGCACAUGGAAGUUUGGGGCAAUAACAGGUCUGUGAUGCCCUUAGAUGUUCUGGGCCGCACACGGGCUACACUGGCGCCUGCAACGAGCAUAUCAGCUGGCCCGAGAGGGUCUUGGCUAAUCUUUUGAACCGGCGCCGUGCUUGGGAUUGACCUUUGCAAUUGUUGGUCAUGCAACGAGGAAUGCCUUGUAAACGCGAGUCAUCAGCUCGCAUUGAAUACGUCCCUGCCCUUUGUACACACCGCCCGUCGCUCCUACCGAUGAAUGUUCCGAUGAAAUUUUCGGAGAGUGCCUGUGAACUUGGCUCUGCCUUGCGAACGGGAAGCUCAAAGUCACUUAAAUCUGAACAUUUCGAGG
rnacentral:rRNA from 1 species